rnacentral:rRNA from 1 species
UACAGAGGCCACAAGCGUUAGACGGAAUCACUGGGCUUAAAGCGUGUGUAGGCGGGAUGGUAAGUACCUUGUGAAAUCCCACAGCUUAACUGUGGAAAUGCUUGGUAUACUGCCGUUCUUGAGUCACCUAGGGGCAGCUGGAACAGAUGGUGGAGCGGUGAAAUGCAUAGAUAUCGGAAGGAACACCAGUGGCGAAGGCGGGUCUCUGGUCUGUAACUGACGCUGAGGUGCGAAAGCGUGGGGAGCAAACAGG